GUACCUUCAAGCUUUGCUUGGUGUUGGGCGUUUGUCUUGAAUUGACUCGCCUUAAAUUAAUUGGCAGCCAGUCUUUUGGUAUUAGAGCGCAGCACAUUUUGCGAUCCUCUAUCUUGGGACUGGAAACCACAAGUCUACAAUUUAAC
rnacentral:misc_RNA from 1 species